rnacentral:rRNA from 1 species
UACGUAGGUGGCAAGCGUUGUCCGGAUUUAUUGGGUUUAAAGGGUGCGUAGGCGGUCCUAUAAGUCAGUGGUGAAAUACGGCAGCUCAACUGUCGAGGUGCCAUUGAUACUGCAGGACUAGAGUACUGAUGAGGUAGGCGGAAUGGACGGUGUAGCGGUGAAAUGCUUAGAUAUCGUCCAGAACACCGAUAGCGAAGGCAGCUUACCAAGCUGUAACUGACACUGAGGCACGAAAGUGUGGGGAUCAAACAGG